rnacentral:rRNA from 1 species
UAGGGAAUAUUGCACAAUGGGCGAAAGCCUGAUGCAGCAACGCCGCGUGUGCGAUGAAGGCCUUCGGGUCGUAAAGCACUUUUCUGAGAGAUGAGAAAGGACAGUAUCUCAGGAAUAAGUCUCGGCUAACUACGUGCCAGCAGCCGCGGUAACACGUAGGAGGCGAGCGUUAUCCGGAUUCACUGGGCGUAAAGCGCGUGCAGGCGGCUUGGUAAGUUGGGUGUGAAAUCUCCCGGCUCAACUGGGAGAAGUCGUCCAAUACUACCAGGCUAGAGAGCAGUAGAGGAAGAUGGAAUUCCCGGUGUAGUGGUGAAAUGCGUAGAUAUCGGGAGGCACACCAGUGGCGAAGGCGAUCUUUUGGACUGUUUCUGACGCUCAGACGCGACAGCUAGGGUAGCAAACG